AGGGCUGCCGUGAUUGCGGAGUUAAUACGAGUGAAGGCACAGAAGAAUGGCUGACGUGCCGUAAGUGCUGGAAGGCUCAGAAGAAAAGACCUGGAGGACUUAGGGAAAGGACCACCCCGUGCUGCCAGAGGAGCUGUGUUGGAAGAGGGCUCCCUGAGGUCCCUCCAAGUCACCUCGUUUUGUGAUUGAAUGCAGUCAUCUCCACGACCAAGUCCUUAUAAACUGGAAGCUGUUCCUCGUGGGCACAUCUAUAAGCUUCCUGUCCUCUACAGAUUUGAUAAGCAUGCCUCCUGUGUCUUCAUUUCAACUCUUUGAUAACAAGUGAACCCAGACGUCAGUUGACGUCACCCUGUCCUUUGAGAUCGAAAGAAAAUCAGCUCAAGCGCCCAUCACACAUCCUGUGGGAAGUCAGAUGCCCUCCCAAAGAUCUUUGCAAACUCCCAGCACUUUGGUGGUCACUUGCGUUUCCACAUUUUUCCUCCUGCUGGCCUUGGGCUCACCCACAUCCCACCUCUGUGGCUGCUCUGUCCUCUCAGGUUCAUGCCGACCAGGUCCUUUCCCAGAUUUCUUUCAAGAAACAAAACAUUUAGGAGUGCGGCAGAUUUUGUGCAAGACUUGCAGAGAUGGGGUGUGUGUGUGUGUGUGUGUGUGUGUGUGUGUGUGUGUGUGUGUAGGGGGGUUCCUGUACAGAAUAGGUACUCAAACAGAUUUAAUAGAUCUCUUCUUUCUGUCCUUGAAAGUCCCUCAGUAACACCAACACUAGGACCUUCUUCCUGGUCUCUUUUCCCCAAGUGCUCCUCAAACUACCCAGAGAAUCAAGACCCUAGGAUUUCAUUAACAGCCCUUGUUCUGGCCAGGGUUGGUGGAGGAGAGUGGGGCAUGGGGAGAAUUAAGGGCAGACCCUGGGCAAAUUUGUGAGGAGUCAAAGUUUGUUUAAGAUGUUCCGCAUACUUCCUUUUAAAUUAAAAUUUAAGAAUAUAUUUUAUUUAACAUAAAGCAACCAAAAUAUUAUUUCACCUUGUAUUAUGGGCUGAAUUGUGUUCCCCCCAAAUUCAUGUUGAAACCCUAACCCCCCGUACUCAGAAUGUGACCGUAUUUGGAGAUAGGGUCUUUACAGAGGUAAUCAAGUUAAAAUGAUCAUUAAGGUGGCUCUAAUCACCAAGGUGGGUCAGCCAGGACACCUGACUGGUGUCCUUAUAAGAAGAAGAGAUUUGGACACACAAGAGAGACAUCAAGGAUGUUUAAGCACCAAGAAAAGACCAUGUGAAGAGGGAGCAAGUGGGCAGCCAUCUGCAAGCCAAAGAGAGAAGCCUCAGAGGAAACAAACUCUGCUGGCACCUUGAUCUCGGACUUCUAGCCUCCAGAACUAUAAGAAAAUAAAUUUCUGUUGUUUAA